UGGGGAAUCUUCCGCAAUGGAGGCAACUCUGACGGAGCAACGCCGCGUGAGUGAAGAAGGCCUUCGGGUUGUAAAGCUCUGUUUACAGGGAAGAACCGCCAUAUAAGCAAAUAGAUAUGGUCUGACGGUACCUGUAGAGCAAGCCCUGGCUAACUACGUGCCAGCAGCCGCGGUAACACGUAGAGGGCAAGCGUUGUCCGGAAUCAUUGGGCGUAAAGGGUAAGCAGGCUGGUAUGCAAGUCAAAUGUGAAAGUUGACGGCUCAACCGUCAGAUUGCGUUUGAAACUGCAUAUCUUGAGUGCAGCAGAGGGGAGCGGAAUUCCUGGUGGAGCGGUGAAAUGCGUAGAUAUCAGGAAGAACACCAGUGGCGAAGGCGGCUCUCUGGGCUGCAACUGACGCUGAUUUACGAAAGCCAGGGUAGUCAACG
rnacentral:rRNA from 1 species